rnacentral:rRNA from 1 species
GAUGAACGCUGGCGGCAUGCCUAAUACAUGCAAGUCGAACGGAUAUCUUCGGAUAUGAGUGGCGAACGGGUGAGUAACACGUAGGGAACCUGCCUGCAUGAGCGAGAGAACUUCUGGAAACGGAAGCUGAUACCGGAUGAGCAAAGAGGAGGCAUCUUCUUUUUGGAAAAGGGGACAAGAGUCCCGCAUGCAGAUGGACCUGCGGUGCAUUAGCUGGUUGGAGAGGUAACGGCUCACCAAGGCGACGAUGCAUAGCCGGCCUGAGAGGGCGGACGGCCACACUGGGACUGAGACACGGCCCAGACUCCUGCGGGAGGCAGCAGUAGGGAAUUUUCGUCAAUGGGGGGAACCCUGAACGAGCAAUGCCGCGUGAGCGAGGAAGGUCUUCGGAUCGUAAAGCUCUGUUGCCGGGGACAAAAGGCAGAAAGAGUGGAAAGCUU